rnacentral:rRNA from 1 species
AGCGAACGCUGGCGGCAGGCUUAACACAUGCAAGUCGAACGGGCAUCUUCGGAUGUCAGUGGCAGACGGGUGAGUAACACGUGGGAACGUACCCUUCGGUUCGGAAUAACUCAGGGAAACUUGAGCUAAUACCGGAUACGCCCUUUUGGGGAAAGGUUUACUGCCGCAGGAUCGGCCCGCGUCUGAUUAGCUUGUUGGUGGGGUAACGGCCUACCAAGGCGACGAUCAGUAGCUGGUCUGAGAGGAUGAUCAGCCACACUGGGACUGAGACACGGCCCAGACUCCUACGGGAGGCAGCAGUGGGGAAUAUUGGACAAUGGGCGCAAGCCUGAUCCAGCCAUGCCGCGUGAGUGAUGAAGGCCUUAGGGUUGUAAAGCUCUUUUGUCCGGGACGAUAAUGACGGUACCGGAAGAAUAAGCCCCGGCUAACUUCGUG